GGGGAUGGCACAACAUGGCUGUAAUCCCAGCACUUGGGAGGCUGAGGCAGGAGGAUCAAAGGUUAAAGUCUGCCUGUGCUGCAUAGUAAGACCUUGUCUCCAAAGAUAAAGUUAAUGAAGAUGACAAUGUUUAAAGAGUCAGUUGCAUUAUUAUUACUGUUAUUAUUAUUAUUUCAGAUGAUAGUGGUGGUGACUGUGAUGGCGGCCUUGUUUUCCCGGGGGAGGGGGGUGCUUUGGUCAGUAACAGUAAUAACAGCUGUGCACUUGGACAGUUCAGCAGUUGAGAAUGUAUGAGCAUUCAGUAGAAUGCCAGGGUGUGGUUGGGCAGGAAAUGACAGAAGUUAUCACCAUUCAGACUAUCUCUACUGCUUGUUAAGAUUUGAUUUCUCUCUUUCUCUCUUUUGGUUGUUAAUAUUGUAAGGUUUACUUCUCAGUAUCAUUUGGUGGCUUUUUUUUUUUUUUUUUAGUGGUCAAAUGAGUGAAUCAACAUCUCAAGAUCAGUCCAAGCCUGACCAGGACAAUGGAAAAGAAGACAGGGAACAGCAGCAGGACUCCUCAAAGGACAAAAAGGACAGAAAGGACGAAAAGAAUGAAAAGGACUUAAAGGAAACAAAGGAGGAAAAGGACAAAAAGGAAGAAAAGAACAAAAAGGACAAAAAGAAGGAAAAGGACAAACAGGACACAAAGGAGGAAGAGGACACAAAGGAGGAAGAGGACACAAAGGAGGAAGAGGAUAAAGAGGGCGAAAAGGAGGUAGAGCCCCCGAGUAAUCAGAUAACAGUAUGACCGAGUAAGCUGACUGCAUAACUUCUUAUGAAGAAGGAAAAGUGUGGAUGGUCAAAAUGAGAGGGCAAGGGCAAAGUGCAAAUCCAGGUUGAUUAUUAAGCUGAUGG
rnacentral:lncRNA from 1 species